rnacentral:pre_miRNA from 1 species
GGCUGCAAGCUUGACUUCUGCUCCCAGAGCACAGUGGCUGGGGAGGGCAUUGCGCUGGUUUGUGGGAAUGGAAGGGCGCUGCUGGUC